GAUGAACGCUGGCGGCAUGCCUAAUACAUGCAAGUCGAGCGAACCGACGAGGAGCUUUCUCCUCUGACGUUAGCGGCGGACGGGUGAUUCACUCGUGUAUAAACUACCUAUAGGACUGGUAUACCUACGCCGAACCGGCGCUAAUACCGGAUAAUAUAUUGACCCUCAUGGUUCCAUCGUCAAAGUCGGUUUUGCUGUCACUUAUAGAUGGAUCCGCGCCGCAUUAGCUAGUUGGUAAGGUAACGUCUUACCAAGGCGUGGAUGGGUAGCCGACCUGAGAGGGUCAUCGACCACCCGGGAUCAGAGAAAGAGUCCACACACCGACGGUGGGCAGCAGUAGGGAAUCUUCCGCGAGGGGGGAGAGCCGGACCGAGCAAAGCCGCGGAAGUGAUGAAGGUCUUAUGAUGGUAAAACUAUGUUGUUAGUGAAGAACAAAUGUGUUAGUAACUAUGACGAUCUUGACGGUACCCAAUCAGAAAGCCACGGCUAACUACGUG
rnacentral:rRNA from 1 species